rnacentral:rRNA from 1 species
GGUGCGGGUGCUUACCAUGCAAGUCGAACGAUGAUCCCAGCUUGCUGGGGGAUUAGUGGCGAACGGGUGAGUAACACGUGAGUAACCUGCCCUUAACUCUGGGAUAAGCCUGGGAAACUGGGUCUAAUACCGGAUAUGACUCCUCAUCGCAUGGUGGGGGGUGGAAAGCUUUAUUGUGGUUUUAGAUGGACUCGCGGCCUAUCAGCUUGUUGGUGAGGUAAUGGCUCACCAAGGCGACGACGGGUAGCCGGCCUGAGAGGGUGACCGGCCACACUGGGACUGAGACACGGCCCAGACUCCUACGGGAGGCAGCAGUGGGGAAUAUUGCACAAUGGGCGAAAGCCUGAUGCAGCGACGCCGCGUGAGGGAUGACGGCCUUCGGGUUGUAAACCUCUUUCAGUAGGGAAGAAGCGAAAGUGACGGUACCUGCAGAAGAAGCGCCGGCUAACUACGUGCCAGCAGCCGCGGUAAUACGUAGGGCGCAAGCGUUAUCCGGAAUUAUUGGGCGUAAAGAGCUCGUAGGCGGUUUGUCGCGUCUGCCGUGAAAGUCCGGGGCUCAACUCCGGAUCUGCGGUGGGUACGGGCAGACUAGAGUGAUGUAGGGGAGACUGGAAUUCCUGGUGUAGCGGUGAAAUGCGCAGAUAUCAGGAGGAACACCGAUGGCGAAGGCAGGUCUCUGGGCAUUAACUGACGCUGAGGAGCGAAAGCAUGGGGAGCGAACAGGAUUAGAUACCCUGGUAGUCCAUGCCGUAAACGUUGGGCACUAGGUGUGGGGGACAUUCCACGUUUUCCGCGCCGUAGCUAA